rnacentral:ncRNA from 1 species
AUAACUGGCUUGUGGCAGCCAAGCGUUCAUAGCGACGUUGCUUUUUGAUCCUUCGAUGUCGGCUCUCUCUCCCUCCAUCAUUAUUAUUCGAGCUCGCGUU